rnacentral:lncRNA from 1 species
UUUUUGUUGAUUAAGUUUGGUUUGAAAUUUUUUAUUUAUUUCCUUCAAAAAUAAUUGAUGGAAGCUUGCUAAGGUUUGGAAACCGUGAGAUCUAGCUCCAAANAGCAAGCNAACAGUGAUGCAGAGGAGUGCAAUGGAAAUGGAUGUAGAUGAAUGGAGUUUUUGUGUUUUUGUGAUGGGAGGAGUGUGUGAAUUGUCCUCUCAGCUCAGAAAGCNUUCCUACUGUGGAAGGAAGCUAGAGGAAAAGGCAGAGAAAGUGAAGAGAAGAAGUGACUCAAGAGCAAUANGGCUGAGAAUUGAAUUCAGCAGCAUUUCAUUAAAGCUCAAAAGUGGGAAAUUACAAAGGGAAGUGUUGAAAGGAUUUUUGUCGCCUAAAAUCUGAACAAACCUAAAUUCCCCACUAAUGUAGUAUAGGGGCAACCUAGGGUCUAAUCNAAGGACUUGGUACUUAUUAAGAUAGAAUUGUAGAAUUAAGCCUAUUUAUUUAUUUAUUUACUAAAAACUAGGUGGGGAAAAUAAAAUGUAAAAAUGAGAUCUAAAAAGAAACUAAAAAAAUAAUGCAAUGCAUGAUUCUAACUAAAAUGAAUGUAAGAUGCCUAAAAUAAAAUGAUGCAAAGGAAGAAAAUUAAGACUGUGAACUAUGCUAAAGAAAAAUAAAUGGAAGGCCUAAACUAAAAUGAUGAAUUAAAAGAACCUAAAAUCAAAGAAACUAAAGGGUAAUUGCAUGAAAACCAGUAAACGUAUGAUUAUGAAUUGAAAAUGCAAAGAAUAAUAUGUAAAGAAAAUCAAACUCUAAUUGGUAUAUACAAUGCUAAAAAUCAAGACAGAAUUGACACAAAAUAAAAUUGAAAGAAAAGUGAAUAUAGAA